AGCGAACGCUGGCGGCAGGCUUAACACAUGCAAGUCGAGCGGGCACUUCGGUGUCAGCGGCAGACGGGUGAGUAACACGUGGGAACGUACCCUUCGGUUCGGAAUAACGCUGGGAAACUAGCGCUAAUACCGGAUACGCCCUUUUGGGGAAAGGUUUACUGCCGAAGGAUCGGCCCGCGUCUGAUUAGCUAGUUGGUGGGGUAAUGGCCUACCAAGGCGACGAUCAGUAGCUGGUCUGAGAGGAUGAUCAGCCACACUGGGACUGAGACACGGUCCAGACUCCUACGGGAGGCAGCAGUGGGGAAUAUUGGACAAUGGGCGCAAGCCUGAUCCAGCCAUGCCGCGUGAGUGAUGAAGGCCUUAGGGUUGUAAAGCUCUUUUGUCCGGGACGAUAAUGACGGUACCGGAAGAAUAAGCCCCGGCUAACUUCGUG
rnacentral:rRNA from 1 species